rnacentral:misc_RNA from 1 species
UUUCCGUAGGUGAACCUGCGGAAGGAUCAUUAUUGGAUUUUGAAACUUCAGGCUGCUGCUGGCUCUCCUCGGAGGGCAUGUGCACGCUUGUUGUCCAUUAUUUCUCCCACUGUGCACAAAUUGUAGACCUUUCAGUAGGCCUAUGUUGUUUUUCACAAUCUCUGAAUGUAAUAGAAUGGUUUUGAAUCUUGGGAAAUACAAUACAACUUUCAGCAACGGAUCUCUUGGCUCUCGCAUCGAUGAAAAACGCAGC